GGGCCCGCACAAGCGGUGGAGCAUGUGGUUUAAUUCGAUGCAACGCGAAGAACCUUACCUGGUCUUGACAUACACAGAAUCUUGUAGAGAUACGAGAGUGCCUUCGGGAAUUGUGAUACAGGUGCUGCAUGGCUGUCGUCAGCUCGUGUCGUGAGAUGUUGGGUUAAGUCCCGCAACGAGCGCAACCCUUGUCCUUAGUUACCAGCGGGUUAAGCCGGGAACUCUAAGGAUACUGCCAGUGACAAACUGGAGGAAGGCGGGGACGACGUCAAGUCAUCAUGGCCCUUACGACCAGGGCUACACACGUGCUACAAUGGUAGGUACAGAGGGCAGCUACACAGCGAUGUGAUGCGAAUCUCAAAAAGCCUAUCGUAGUCCAGAUUGGAGUCUGCAACUCGACUCCAUGAAGUAGGAAUCGCUAGUAA
rnacentral:rRNA from 1 species